UAAGCAAUGUUUUGAGACAUGCUGCCGUAUAUCGAUAGAAAGUGAAACGUUUCCCAAGUUUGCCUAUAUAAACUGAUAGCAUUCUGUUAGAAAUAAUUAGAAAUUAUUAUUUGAAAUAUGCCCUUGCCGGGCUUUUGCUUUAUUGUGGCAAUUACGAUAGAAUUUUUGCAGCGUUGAAAUUAUUUACCAGCAUUCAUGCUACAAUAUCCACCCAAAAUUGCUACAAUAUCCGCCCAAAAUUGCUCUUUCGUAUUUUUUGUGAUCCGCCGAAGAUUAUCACUACCUUCAUUACGUUUGAAUGCAGCAAAGAGCAUUCAGAAACACAUAAAUCAACAUCCCAGAUCUAGUUGCUCUUGUGAAUUUAAAUCAACGAAACAUCAAUUUUAUUAACUUUUUGGACCAUUUCUCAUUAUUGCCCGGAAACGAGAUACAUUUGUUACUAAAAUGAGCCCUUCUUGCGAGAAUUAUUCGGAUUGUGAAUGGUUUCACGAUUGUGGUCCCCGAAACAUUUGUAUUCCGAAUGGCAAUAUCUAUAUUUGGCCCUCGGUGUGCUAUCCAUUAUGAUCAUUUUGGAUUCACUUUGGAUCAUCUAUAACUAUAAGAAAAAUGGGACGUUCCUGCCACUAAUUAAUAUACAGUUUCGACGAGGAGUGCAUCGACUGCAUGGACUGCAUCGGAUAUGAGAAUUCUAUGACUAGUUAACACGAUUCCAUUUGUUCAUGAAUUACGUUUGGGGUUAAGUAAUUAAUAGAAAAAUUUAAGUUUGCAAAUUUUGGCGUAAAACGUGAAUAUGUAAUGUGUGUUUUAUCUCAGUAAAACGGCUAGCUAGUUUAAAAAAAAUGAAAAUUCC